rnacentral:rRNA from 1 species
AUUGAACGCUGGCGGCAGGCCUAACACAUGCAAGUCGAACGAGUGGCGGACGGGUGAGUAAUGUCUGGGAAACUGCCCGAUGGAGGGGGCUAACUACUGGAAACGGUAGCUAAUACCGCAUACCAUCGGAUGUGUCCAGAUGGGAUUAGCUAGUAGGUGGGGUAACGGCUCACCAAGGCGACGAUCCCUAGCUGGUCUGAGAGGAUGAACAGCCAUACGGAAACUGGAACACGGUCCAGACUCCAACGGGAGGAAGCAGUGGGAAAUAUUGCACAAUGGGCGCAAGCCGAAUGCAGCCAUGCCGCGUGUAUGAAGAAGGCCUUCGGGUUGUAAAGUACUUUCAGCGAGGAGGCGUUAAUCGCAGAAGAAGCACCGGCUAACUCCGUGCCAGCCGCCGCGGUAAUAC